rnacentral:rRNA from 1 species
AGUGAACGCUGGCGGUAGGCCUAACACAUGCAAGUCGAACGGCAGCACAGUAAGAGCUUGCUCUUACGGGUGGCGAGUGGCGGACGGGUGAGGUAUACAUCGGAAUCUACUUUUUCGUGGGGGAUAACGUCGGGAAACUUACGCUAAUACCGCAUACGACCUACGGGUGAAAGCAGGCGAUCUUCAGACGUUGCGCGAAUGGAUGAGCCGAUGUGGGAUUAGGUAGUUGGCGGGGUAAAGGCCUACCAAGGCGACGCUCCGUAGCUGGUCUGAGAGGAUGAGCAGCCACACUGGGAGUGAGACACGGCACAGACUCCUACGGGAGGCAGCAGUGGGGAAUCUUAGACAAUGGGGGCAAAGAUGAUCUAGCCAUGACGCGUGAGUGAUGAAGGCCUUAGGGAAGUAAAGCUCUUUAAGCUGGGAAGAUAAUGACGGUACCAGAAGAAGAAGCCCCGGCUAACUCCGUG